GAUGAACGCUGGCUACAGGCUUAACACAUGCCAGUCGAGGGGAAGCGGCAUUGAGUGCUUGCACUGAAUGGACGUCGACCGGCGCACGGGUGAGUAACGCGUAUCCAACCUUCCCGUUACUGCGGGAUAACCUGCCGAAAGGCAGACUAAUACCGCAUGUUCUUCGAUGACGGCAUCAGAUUCGAAGCAAAGAUCCGUCGGUAACGGAGGGGGAUGCGUCUGAUUAGCUAGUUGGCGGGGCGACGGCCCACCAAGGCGACGAUCAGUAGGGGUUCUGAGAGGAAGGUCCCCCACAUUGGAACUGAGACACGGUCCAAACUCCUACGGGAGGCAGCAGUGAGGAAUAUUGGUCAAUGGGCGGAAGCCUGAACCAGCCAAGUAGCGUGCAGGAUGACGGCCCUACGGGUUGUAAACUGCUUUUAUGCGGGGAUAAAGUGAGGGACGCGUCCCUUUUUGCAGGUACCGCAUGAAUAAGGACCGGCUAAUUCCGUG
rnacentral:rRNA from 1 species